UACGUAGGGUGCAAGCGUUGUCCGGAAUUAUUGGGCGUAAAGAGCUCGUAGGCGGUUUGUCGCGGCGGCUGUGAAAACCUGGGGCUCAACCCCGGGCCUGCAGCCGAUACGGGCAAACUAGAAUUCGGUAGGGGAGACUGGAAUUCCUGGUGUAGCGGUGAAAUGCGCAGAUAUCAGGAGGAACACCGGUGGCGAAGGCGGGUCUCUGGGCCGAUAUUGACGCUGAGGAGCGAAAGCGUGGGGAGCAAACAGG
rnacentral:rRNA from 1 species